GCGAGUAGUGCAGUGGUUAGCACGCGCUCCACGAAAGGCCGAGACACGGGUUCAAGUCCCGCAUGAAUUUGGAAGCU